GGCAUCGUAGCUCAGUUGGCUAGAGCGUUGGCUCAACUAAAGCCGUCCCCUUGCUGGCGUGGGUUUGAACCCCGCCAAGGCCA
rfam:Schistocephalus solidus strain NST_G2 genome assembly, scaffold: SSLN_contig0007525